rnacentral:snoRNA from 17 species
GGUCUGCGGUCUUGGGCCCGCGCUGGGUUGGUUGCCUUCAAGAGCCCACCACACUUGCAGAAUAAGCAUACUCCGGAGGAAAGCUGAGCAUGGCUGCUCCAGAGCCAGCGUUUCCAUGUGCAAUUUUCCCUCGGAUAGCUCCCGGAAUACUGUUGCCACGGUGAUAAUGACCUCCGUGUCAUUAUCUAUCCACCAACAGUAAGAGAAGCUUUGCAGUCGCGAUAUUGUUUGGCAGACAGAGUGGUUUCUGUUGGACACUAAGUACUGCUACAAAU